CAGCCUCGAUAAUCCCUUGACCUCAUUAGGGGAAUGCUUCA
rnacentral:sRNA from 1 species